rnacentral:rRNA from 1 species
UAUGGCGACCGGCGCACGGGUGAGUAACACGUAUCCAACCUGCCGAUGACUCGGGGAUAGCCUUUCGAAAGAAAGAUUAAUACCCGAUGGCAUAGUUCUUCCGCAUGGUAGAACUAUUAAAGAGUUUCGGUCAUCGAUGGGGAUGCGUUCCAUUAGGUUGUUGGCGGGGUAACGGCCCACCAAGCCUUCGAUGGAUAGGGGUUCUGAGAGGAAGGUCCCCCACAUUGGAACUGAGACACGGUCCAA